rnacentral:rRNA from 1 species
UGAUGAGCUGCGAAGCGGGUGAGUAACGCGUAGGUAACCUGACCUCAUAGCGGGGGAUAACUAUUGGAAACGAUAGCUAAUACCGCAUAAGAGUGAUUAACACAUGUUAGUUAUUUAAAAGGAGCAAUUGCUUCACUGUGAGAUGGACCUGCGUUGUAUUAGCUAGUUGGUGAGGUAAAGGCUCACCAAGGCGACGAUACAUAGCCGACCUGAGAGGGUGAUCGGCCACACUGGGACUGAGACACGGCCCAGACUCCUACGGGAGGCAGCAGUAGGGAAUCUUCGGCAAUGGACGGAAGUCUGACCGAGCAACGCCGCGUGAGUGAAGAAGGUUUUCGGAUCGUAAAGCUCUGUUGUUAGAGAAGAACGUUGGUAGGAGUGGAAAAUCUACCAAGUGACGGUAACUAACCAGAAAGGGACGGCUAACUACGUGCCAGCAGCCGCGGUAAUACGUAGGUCCCGAGCGUUGUCCGGAUUUAUUGGGCGUAAAGCGAGCGCAGGCGGUUCUUUAAGUCUGAAGUUAAAGGCAGUGGCUUAACCAUUGUACGCUUUGGAAACUGGAGGACUUGAGUGCAGAAGGGGAGAGUGGAAUUCCAUGUGUAGCGGUGAAAUGCGUAGAUAUAUGGAGGAACACCGGUGGCGAAAGCGGCUCUCUGGUCUGUAACUGACGCUGAGGCUCGAAAGCGUGGGGAGCAACAGGAUUAGAUACCCUGGUAGAU